ensembl:snRNA U6 U6 spliceosomal RNA
GUAUUCACUCCAGCAGCACAUCUACUAAAACUGGAAUGAUACAGAGAUGCUUAGCAUAUCCCCUGUGCAGGGGGGACAUGCAAAUUUGAGAGAAUUGUCUGGGAUAU